GGGGAGGGGCGCAGACUCACCCGGCUGCGGGGGGAGGGGCGGGCGAGGGCGGGGCCGAGUCGUCGGAGGAGUCGGAGUCGGAGUCGGAGGAGGACGAGGAGGAGGACGAGGACGAGGAAGAGGAAGAGGAGGAGGAAGAGGAGGAGGAGGAGGAGGAGGAAGAGCUGCCGCCCUUGGGCGGGGCCGGGAGGGCGGCGCUGACGUCAUGGGUGGCCACGGUGGCCACGUCGCUGGUCACGCCGGCGGGGACGGCGGUGGCCCCAGAGUUGACGGUGGUGGCCACAACGGGGACGGUGGUAGCCACGGCGGGGACAUCGGUGGCCACAACGGGGAUGGUGGUGGCCACGGGGGCGGCACUGGUGACACUAGUGGCCACGGUGGGGACGUUGGUGGCCACGGUGGGGACGUUGGUGGCCGCGGCGGUGACACCGGUAGCUCCAGAGUUGACGCUGGUGACGCUGGUGGCCGCAGCAGGGACGUUGGUGGCCACGGCGGUGACACCGGUAGCUCCAGAGUUGACGCUGGUGACGCUGGUGGCCGCAGCAGGGACGUUGGUGGCCACGGCGGUGACACCGGUAGCUCCAGAGUUGACGCUGGUGACGCUGGUGGCCGCAGCAGGGACGUUGGUGGCCACGGCGGUGGCGCCGGCGGCCCCAGGUGUGACACUGGUGGCCACCGCAGAGACGUUGGUGGCCACGGGGGCGGCGCUGGUGGCCUUGGGGACACCGGUCAUACUGGUGGCCACGGUGGGGACGCUGGCGGCCUUCGGAGCGACGGCGACGCUGGUAGCCACGGCGGCGGCACUAGUGGCCACUGGGGUGACGGUGGUGGCCCUGGUGGCAGCAGCGGCGUUGGUGGCCACGGUGGCGACGCUGGUGGCCCUGGUGACAACGCCGGCGUUGGUGGCCACGGUGGCGACGCUGGUGGCCCUGGGAGCAACAGUGGCACUGGUGGCCGCGGUGGUGGCCACGGUGACGCUGGUGGCCCUGGCGGGGCUGAGGACACUGGUGGCUGCAGCGGUGGCCUUGGGAGCAAUGGUGGCACCGGUGGCCACAGGGGUGACACUGGUGGCCACGGGGGUGACGGUGACACUGGCCGGACUGGUGGCAGCAGGAGCCUUAAUGGUGGUGGCCACGGUGACGCCGGGAGUGCUGGUGGCCACAGAAGGGCCAGCAGUGGCCACGGGGGUGGCGUUGGUAGCCCUGGGGACAUCCUUGGGGACGUUCACGGCACUGACCACUGCAGCGGGGACGGUGGCCACGCUGGCCUUGGUGACAUCCACGGCGGCGGUGACGCCAGCGGUGGCCUUGGGGGUGACGUUGGUGGCCACGGUGGCCUUGGUGACACCCAUAGCGACAGCGAUGGCCCCUGGGGUGACAGCGGUGGCCACGGUGGCCUUGGUGGCCCCUCCGGUGACAAUGGUGGCCACGGUGGCCCCUCCAAUGGCCUUGGUGGCCCCUGGGGUGACAGCGGUGGCCCCAGGGGUGACAGAGUCCACAGUAGCCUUGGGGACGACGUUGGUGGCUACAGGGGUGACGCUGGUGGCCACAGGGAUGACGUUGGUGGCCACAGGGGUGACGGUGGUGGCCACAGGGGUGACGUUGGUGGCCACAGAGGCCUUAGCGGCCCCUACGGUGACAGCGGUGGCCCCUGAGGUGACAGAAUCCAUGGUGACCUUGGUGGCCCCAGGGGCGACAAGCGGGGCCCCAACAGUGGCUUUGGUGGCCCCAGAGGUGACAACGGUGGCCCCUGGGGUGACAGCAGCGGGCACAGCGGCUACUCCGGUGACAGUGGUGGCCCCCACGGUGGCUUUGGUGGCCCCUGGAGCGACAGAGCCAACGGUGACCCCCGCGGUGGCUUUGGUGGCCCCCGGAGCGACAGCGGUGGCCACAGUGGCGUUGGUGGCCCCUCCGGCGACAGCGGUGGCCACGGUGGCGUUGGUGGCCCCUCCGGCGACAGCGGUGGCCACGGUGGCGUUGGUGGCCCCCACGCUGGCAUUGGUGGCCCCUCCGGUGACAGCGGUGGCCCCCGGGGUGACAGCGACCGCAGCGGCCUUGGGAGCGACGGCGGUGGCCACAGGGGCGGCGCCGGUGGCCACAGGGGCGACGGCGUCCGCAGCGGCCUUGGGGGUGACGUUAGUGGCCACGGGGGCGCCGCCGGUAGCCACGGCGGCCUUGGGGGCCCCCGGGGUGCCAAGGGUGGCCUUGACGCCCCCCGGGGUGAGGUUGGUGGCCCCCGGGGCGGGGCCGGUGGCCGCGGCGGGGGCAGCCUUAGCGCCCCCCUCCUCCCGGCGGGCGGUGGCCAGCGCGGGGGGGGCCUUGGUGGCCGGGAGGAGGCGGGGCCCGGGGUGGGGGAGGGGCGCGAUGGCGGCCACGGGGGAGGAGGGGAGGUUGAGGCGGGCGGCCGGCAGCAGCGACCCCCCCCCGGCCCCCCCCACCCCCCGCAGAGCCCGGGGCAACCCCGGCGGGGGAGGGGGAGGGGUGGCCCCGGGUCCCGCCCCCCCGCGGGGGCGGGGCGCUGACGUC
ensembl:lncRNA